AGUGAGCGGCAAAGCUCAAUUUGAAAUCUGGUACCUUCGGUGCCCGAGUUGUAAUUUGGAGAGGGCAACUUUGGGGCCGUUCCUUGUCUAUGUUCCUUGGAACAGGACGUCAUAGAGGGUGAGAAUCCCGUGUGGCGAGGAGUGCGGUUCUUUGUAAAGUGCCUUCGAAGAGUCGAGUUGUUU
rnacentral:rRNA from 1 species